AUCACCUGAGGAUCUUGCUAAAAUGCGGAGUCUGGUUUUGUGGGUCUGGGGAGGGGCCCGAGAGUCUGCAUUUCUAAUAAGCUCCCAGGUGAUGCUGA
rnacentral:pre_miRNA from 1 species